UACCUGGUUGAUUCUGCCAGUAGUCAUAUGCUUGUCUCAAAGAUUAAGCCAUGCAUGUCUAAGUAUAAGCAAUUAUACCGCGAAACUGCGAAUGGCUCAUUAUAUAAGUUAUCGUUUAUUUGAUAGCACAUUACUACAUGGAUAACUGUGGUAAUUCUAGAGCUAAUACAUGCUAAAAAUCCCGACUUCGGAAGGGAUGUAUUUAUUAGAUUAAAAGCCAACGCCCUUCGGGGCUUCCUGGUGAUUCAUAAUAACUUUUCGAAUCGCAUGGCCUUGCGCCGGCGAUGGUUCAUUCAAAUUUCUUCCCUAUCAACUUUCGAUGCGAAGGUAUUGUCUUCGCAUGGUUGCAACGGGUAACGGAGGGUUAGGGCUCGACCCCGGAGAAGGAGCCUGAGAAA
rnacentral:rRNA from 1 species